UACGUAGGGGGCAAGCGUUGUCCGGAAUCAUUGGGCGUAAAGCGCGCGUAGGCGGCUCAGUAAGUCCGCUCUGAAAGCCCGGGGCUUAACCCCGGGAGGCGGGUGGAUACUGCUGAGCUUGAGUCCGGAAGAGGCGAGUGGGAUUCCCGGUGUAGCGGUGAAAUGCGCAGAUAUCGGGAGGAACACCAAUGGCGAAGGCAGCUCGCUGGGACGUGACUGACGCUGAGACGCGAAAGCGUGGGGAGCAAACAGG
rnacentral:rRNA from 1 species